rnacentral:rRNA from 1 species
GAUGAACGCUAGCGAUAGGCUUAACACAUGCAAGUCGAGGGGCAGCAUGGUCUUAGCUUGCUAAGACUGAUGGCGACCGGCGCACGGGUGCGUAACGCGUAUGCAGCUUGCCUCACAGAGGGGGAUAACCCGUCGAAAGACGGACUAAUACCGCGUACACUUGGGAUAGGGCAUCCUGACCCAAGGAAAUGAAAUUCGCUGUGAGAUAGGCAUGCGUCCCAUUAGCUAGUUGGUGAGGUAACGGCUCACCAAGGCGACGAUGGGUAGGGGAACUGAGAGGGUGAACCCCCACACUGGUACUGAGACACGGACCAGACUCCUACGGGAGGCAGCAGUGAGGAAUAUUGGUCAAUGGGCGAGAGCCUGAACCAGCCAAGUCGCGUGAAGGAUGACUGUCUUAUGGAUUGUAAACUUCUUUUAUACGGGAAUAACAAGAGCCACGUGUGGCUCCCUGCAUGUACCGUAUGAAUAAGCAUCGGCUAACUCCGUG